UCCUCGUUUAAGCGAGGCAGUCUGUCCAGAGUGCUUCCCUCUCUCGAGGGAGUGGCAACAGGACACAAGGGUUGCGCUCGUUGCGGGACUUAACCCAACAUCUCACGACACGAGCUGACGACAGCCAUGCAGCACCUGUGCAUGCUCCCCUUGCGGGGUCGUCCCACUUUCAUGGUUCUACCACAUGCAUGUCAAGGCCAGGUAAGGUUCUUCGCGUUGCAUCGAAUUAAGCCACAUACUCCACCGCUUGUGCAGGCCCCCGUCAAUUUCUUUGAGUUUUAAUCUUGCGACCGUACUUCCCAGGCGGCGCAUUUAUCGCGUUAGCUUCGCCACAAACGGGGUCGAUUCCGUUUACAGCAAAUGCGCACCGUUUACAGCCAAGACUAC
rnacentral:misc_RNA from 1 species